rnacentral:rRNA from 1 species
CCUACGGGAGGCUGCAGUGAGGAAUAUUGGUCAAUGGACGAGAGUCUGAACCAGCCAAGUAGCGUGAAGGAUGACUGCCCUAUGGGUUGUAAACUUCUUUUAUAAAGGAAUAAAACGAGGCACGUGUGCCUUUUUGCAUGUACUUUAUGAAUAAGGAUCGGCUAACUCCGUGCCAGCAGCCGCGGUAAUACGGAGGAUCCGAGCGUUAUCCGGAUUUAUUGGGUUUAAAGGGAGCGUAGAUGGGUUGUUAAGUCAGUUGUGAAAGUUUGCGGCUCAACCGUAAAAUUGCAAUUGAUACUGGCAGUCUUGAGUACAGUUGAGGUAGGCGGAAUUCGUGGUGUAGCGGUGAAAUGCUUAGAUGUCACGAAGAACCCCGAUUGCGAAGGCAGCUUACUAAACUGUGACUGACAUUGAUGCUCGAAAGCGUGGGUAUCGAACAGGAUUAGAUACCCGAGUAGUC